rnacentral:rRNA from 1 species
CGAACGGCAGCACAGCAGUAGCAAUACUGUGGGUGGCGAGUGGCGGACGGGUGAGUAAUGCAUCGGGACCUACCUGAACGUGGGGGAUAACGUAGGGAAACUUACGCUAAUACCGCAUACGUCCUACGGGAGAAAGCGGGGGACCUUCGGGCCUCGCGCGGUCAGACGGACCGAUGUUCGAUUAGCUAGUUGGUAAGGUAACGGCUUACCAAGGCGACGAUCGAUAGCUGGUCUGAGAGGAUGAUCAGCCACACUGGAACUGAGACACGGUCCAGACUCCUACGGGAGGCAGCAGUGGGGAAUAUUGGACAAUGGGCGCAAGCCUGAUCCAGCAAUGCCGCGUGUGUGAAGAAGGCCUUCGGGUUGUAAAGCACUUUUAUCAGGAGCGAAAUACUACCGGUUAAUAACCGGUGGGGCUGACGGUACCUGAGGAAUAAGCACCGGCUAACUUCGUGCCAGCAGCCGCGGUAAUACGAAGGGUGCAAGCGUUAAUCGGAAUUACUGGGCGUAAAGGGUGCGUAGGCGGUUUGUUAAGUCUGUUGU